rnacentral:misc_RNA from 1 species
GUAGGAGGGGGCUUGCCCCCGAUGGCAGCGGGUCAGUCAGCCCAUUUGUCGCUGACCCAUCGCUAUCGGGGGCAAGCCCCCCUCCCA